AGCAAGCGAGGGGGAAAGACCGGACCGCUCCGACCCAACCCCUCCCUACCCCCACCUCCCACCUUAAAGCACCUUAUACCACAGAAGCCUCUCAGCCUCUUCUUUCCUCUGCGAACGCGCUGAGCAGCGAUUGAAAACGUUUUGGUCCUCUCCAGGGGCGCGUUCUGGGGUCUCUGCACAAGACCAGCUCUCAGCUCUCUCUCCUUUCCUCGGACUCUGGAGCGGGAGCGGGCCUUUCCCUCGGGCCGACCACGCCGUAGGGGACGCCAUGAAAAGAGCCGUCGCGCCCGCUGCCUCCUGCCCGCUGCGCAGAGGGCUCCGCCCGUAGAGGUCAACUUCCCUCACCCUUUCCUCUCUCCUGCUCGCCCUCCCUCCGCUCGGCCCAGGCGCUUCCAGCCGCAGACUCUGGCCACAGGCUGAGGAGUGCGAGUCGGCUGCGCUGCCCUGAGCCGAAUCGCCCUUCCGGGCCCAGACCCGAGUUCCGCGCUCCCGGGCAGUGGGAAAGCUUUAGUGAGCAGCCUUUUCUCUCCGCAGCAAACUCGUAGCCAGACCAGAUGGGCCGCCCAGCUCUCUCGGGACUAGGCAGGUGCGGUUGAGUUAAUUUUUCCGCAUUACAAAGAAAGAUGACCCAGCCCGCCCUCGGACUCUCUUUUCCCAAAAUCUCCCAACAAAACCCGCGGUAACGUUAUCAGAGGACACAGAGACCAGGCAUAUCUGUGUGUUUAUCUUACAGGCACACAGGCAUGUUUGUUUUCUCUUUUAUGUGCUAGAUUUCAUCCCUGACAGCAGAAAAUGAUUGGCAACGAUUCUGACGGAGAACAUGCAAUGGCGUGGUCCUUAAAAACCUGCCAUUCCUUACAAGUGCCUUAGAAAGGAUUCAGGGCGGACCAACUGGGUUAAUUGCAUUCAGUAAAAUAACACUAUUACAAAAUUA